CAACAGGGAUUGCCCUAGUAACGGCGAGUGAAGCGGCAACAGCUCAAAUUUGAAAUCUGGCCUUCGGGUCCGAGUUGUAAUUUGUAGAGGAUGCUUUUGGCGCGGUGCCUUCCGAGUUCCCUGGAACGGGACGCCUUAGAGGGUGAGAGCCCCGUACGGUUGGACACCAAGCCUCUGUAAAGCUCCUUCGACGAGUCGAGUAGUUUGGGAAUGCUGCUCUAAAUGGGAGGUAAAUUUCUUCUAAAGCUAAAUAUUGGCCAGAGACCGAUAGCGCACAAGUAGAGUGAUCGAAAGAUGAAAAGCACUUUGAAAAGAGGGUUAAAUAGCACGUGAAAUUGUUGAAAGGGAAGCGUUUGCGACCAGACCUUUUCCUGGUGGAUCAUCCGGUGUUCUCACCGGUGCACUUCGCUAGGUUGAGGCCAGCAUCGGUUUCCGUAGGGGGAUAAAAGCUUGGGGAAUGUAGCUCCUUCGGGAGUGUUAUAGCCCCUUGCAUAAUACCCUUAUGGGGACCGAGGACCGCGCUUCGGCAAGGAUGCUGGCGUAAUGGUCGUCAACGA
rnacentral:rRNA from 1 species